rnacentral:misc_RNA from 1 species
GAUGAAGAACGUAGCGAAAUGCGAUAAGUAAUGUGAAUUGCAGAAUUUAGUGAAUCAUCGAAUCUUUGAACGCAUAUUGCGCCCGCCAGCACUCUGGCGGGCAUGCCUGUUCGAGCGUCAUUUCAACCCUCAGGCCUCGCGUCUGGCGUUGGGGCGCUGCGGCCCUCCCGCAGGCCCCCAAAUUUAGCGGCGGAUUCCCCGCGGCCCUGCGCGCAGUAGAGAGUAAAAACUUUAACGCUCCGGCGGCCGUGGCGCGGUUCUGCCUCUUUCCCAAUAGCGCCAAUAGCGCCACCCCCAAAAAAGUUGACCUCGGAUCAGGUAGGACUACCCGCUGAACUUAAGCAUAUCAAUAAGCGGAGGA